GACGUAGGCGCGAGCGUUGUCCGGAUUUAUUGGGCGUAAAGAGCUCGUAGGCGGCUUGUUGCGUCGACCGUGAAAACCCGGGGCUCAACUUCGGGACUUGCGGUCGAUACGGGCGGGCUAGAGUUCGGUAGGGGAGACUGGAAUUCCUGGUGUAGCAGUGAAAUGCGCAGAUAUCAGGAGGAACACCGGUGGCGAAGGCGGGU
rnacentral:rRNA from 1 species